AUGGCACCCUUGAGACUCCUCCGGUCCGCCGUCGGACGGCUCAGGGCGGCGCAGUCCGCCGGCCGCGCAGCUUUCUCCAGCGCCGCCGCUACGACGGAGGCCAAGGCGACCGUCCGCGAGGGGGUGAUCGCCGCCGCCGCCGCGGCCGUCGCAGGGUCCGGGCUGGGGCUCUGGCUCAUGCCGCCGGCGCUCGCGGACUCCGGCGAGCUGGCCCGCGCCGCCGCGCCAGGACAGAUCGCCGCGGCCGGGCAGAUCUCGGCGGACGCCGGCGCCGUGGAGGAGCGGCACGAGAAGAAGACGAGGUUCCUGCUCGCAGACUCAUACCGCCGAAGGGUGUUCUUCAACUACGAGAAACGGAUACGGCUUCGCAGCCCUCCGGAAAAGAUUUUUGAGUACUUUGCGUCUGUGCGAAAACCGGAUGGGGAAAUGUUCAUGUUGCCUGCCGACUUGAUGAGAGCGGUGGUCCCUGUUUUCCCUCCAUCGGAGUCGAACGUCGUGCGGGAAGGGAGGCUAAGGGGGGAACCCAGCCCCGGAGAGCUGCACUGCGCGCCAUCCAAAUUCUUUGUCCUGUUCGACACAAACACCGAUGGUCUCAUCUCAUUUGCCGAGUACAUCUUCUUUGUUACAUUACUCAGCAUUCCUGAGUCAAGCUUCAGUGCGGCCUUCAAAAUGUUCGACGUUGAUCUCAGUGGGGAGAUAGACAAAGAAGAGUUCAAGAAAGUAAUGGCAUUGAUGCGGUCCUAUAACAGACAAGGAGCUGCCCAUAGGCAUGGCUUACGUACAGGAUUUAAAGUUGGCCAGUCUGUGGAAAAUGGUGGGGUUGUUGAGUAUUUCUUUGGUAAUGAUGGGAAUGAACCUCUACACUUUGAUAAGUUCACAAGUUUUUUGAAGGAAUUGCAUGAAGAGAUUAUUCGUCUGGAAUUCAGUCAUUAUGAUGUCAAGUCGACGAACACUAUCCCGGCAAAGGAUUUUGCACUGUCCAUGGUGGCUUCUGCUGACAUGAAUCACAUUAGCAAGCUACUUGAUAGAGCUGAUACGUUGGAAAAUGACCCUUAUCUCAAGCACUUGCGCAUUACCUUUGAGGAGUUUAAGGCAUUUGCUGAUUUACGCCGAAGAUUAGAAUCAUUGACGAUGGCUAUAUUUGCUUAUGGUCAAGUAAAUGGGCUGUUGACAAAGCAGGAUCUGAAGCGUGCAGCACAGCAUGUCUGUGGUGUUGAAUUAACCGACAGAGUGGUGGACAUCAUUUUCCAUGUGUUUGACAUGAACAAUGAUGGGCACCUGAGCUCAGAGGAGUUCCUGAGAGCACUACAAAGACGAGAAGCCGAUAUUCAUCAGCCAGCGGCGCGAGGAGGUCCCAUGGGCUGGCUGAACCCUAAAAAUCGUUCUUCGCUCCUACAGAUGCUGCGCUAG
rnacentral:rRNA from 1 species